rnacentral:rRNA from 1 species
CACUCUGGGAUGGGACCCUGCGGUGCAUUAGCUAGUUUGGUAGGUAACGGCCUACCCAAGGCGAUGAUGCAUAGCCGAGUUGAGAGACUGAUCGGCCACAUUGGGACUGAGACACGGCCCAAACUCCUACGGGAGGCAGCAGUAGGGAAUCUUCCACAAUGGACGCAAGUCUGAUGGAGCAACGCCGCGUGAGUGAAGAAGGGUUUCGGCUCGUAAAGCUCUGUUGUUGGUGAAGAAGGACAGGGGUAGUAACUGACCUUUGUUUGACGGUAAUCAAUUAGAAAGUCACGGCUAACUACGUGCCAGCAGCCGCGGUAAU